CAAAAGAAUAGCGGGUAGAUACUUCAAAGGUGUUGAAAGAAGUAGCGGCUCGAGACAUCAAAGGAGUACCGCUUUGGUCCGUGCGCAGCAGAGUCCGGUCACACACUCUACUCAGAGAGAGCUGGAGCAGCUUAAGAACAACAACCAGUGACUGGAACAACUGAGAGAGAUGGGAGGAAGAAGAAAGCUGGAAGAAGGCUUGACCCCAUGACCCACAGGAGCACAUGAUCCCUUUCAACAAUCUAUCCUCAUACAACAAAAAAUUCUUCUUAAGGAUCAACCCAGAUGAGGGCACCAAGUGCACUGGUAGAGUGGGUACAAGCUACAAGACGGGAAGAGUCGUCCAAAGAAAGGUGACGAAUAUGUGCUCCAGAGUCACC